UAUCGAAGGCCUAGGUUAGACUCUAUUACCACCGCUGUGUGACAUUCACAACCAACACAGUGCAGGCCACAUGGCGAAUACGACUAAAGAAAGGCUUGGGAAAACGUUUGUUUUUCUUCAAAGUUUAUACAAAGAUCCAUUCAAAAGGUCUUUCUUGAAGAAUGCCGUCUUCUUUUCUAUUGGUGUGUGGCUAGCAAAGAGCUUUGCCGAUGUUGAUGUAGCAGCCCCACAACAAGCAAUUUAAUUCCUUCUUUAGGCAAAAUAUGAAGGUUCCAGUUGAUUCCUGUAGCAGUCCACACCUUGAAAGGUGGUUGCCACCUCCAUUUCACAGAAAGGAUUGUCAACAGCUGAAAUAGUGAGCACGAUUCUGUACACACCAUCCCGAGGGCGUCUUUCCUGGGGGUCAACCCAGGGCUCAAGAUUUAGACAAUAGUGCUUGUUAGCUGUCAUUCUUGAGUUAUAACAUAAUUGUAAUAAUAAUUGUAAAUGACAAAUUUAUUAGAUACAGAAAUAAAUUCUUGCGUACACUGA